AACACUGUAUCUUAUCUCCUCUCUUCUGGACCUGCUGCUGCUGCUGUUUCCUCCCCACUCGGCGCACACGAGGACACCACCCCUAUGGCAUGCAAGCUUCCUGGCGGCUCGGGUGGCAUUGCAAAGCUCAUUUCUGCAGGCAGCAACAUGAUUACGGCGAAGGCAGAAGCUGCUUCAGAUUUUGGUGAACAUGUAAGUCAGACCAACGCACGGAGAAUUUCAGGCAAGUAAAAUGAAAGCCAAGAUGCCUCUGGUUGAGGUUCAUUGCCUUUCAUUACCACCCACUCACAGGUUGAUGCAACUGCAGCAGUUUCAAGGUGUCAAUAGACCCUGGGGAGCCACCUACAAGCUGUCAGUCUUGCACACCCCUGAGAUGUCUAUGUCAGCAGAGGUUGGUAAUCCAUCACACUCUUUCUGGUAAUAGCUACAAGAGGUGCUGGGAAACCUGCAGGCUCAUAAAUGUAAGCACGUGCUGAAAGUCUCUGAGCUUGCAGACUUUUGGAAUGAGUGCUGAGCCAUCACAGUUGGGUUUUGUGUGGUAGCAGAAAAGGCCUGGUCACAGGGGGAGUCCCAGCCGAUAGCCAGGACAAGUGUAUGUAUUUCUCUUCCAAAUAUGAUGCCAUUCUCAAACAUGGACAGAUGCGAGGACACAAAGGCAGCAGCUGUUCUCCCUAUCGUCUAUGUGGAAAGCAUUAGUUUAUGAUUUCAAUCACCACUCACCAAGUGAAAGAAUAACAGCAUCAUUGCCCAAACCAGUAUAAGCCCACAUUCCUGCCACCAGAUCCACAGAGUCGUGCUUUUAUGCUGAAGCAGCCACAAAGGAUUUUCCAAAGUCUUGUUAUGAACUCAGGGAUCUACUUCAGCCAGCACAACGAGUAGCUGAAGGAUAUCAUAGAGGCCAAGAUGGAAAUGGACAACCUGUAGGAACAAAACUCUGGGAUUUUGCUUGAUUUUUCUCCCAUGUCAGCAGACCAACCUCUACUAGGCAGAUCCAACUGGCAUCAAAUGAGCCAAACAGACUGCAGAAGAAGCACUUUAAAUAUAAUUCUUAAAAAUUCCACUUCAUUUCAACAUGAAGGAAACCUCACAUUUCUAGAGUGGAUUAAGAACAAUUUGCAACAAGGACGUCUGCAGUGUAUACUGUACAAAUCAGUGGGGGGAAAAAUACAAAUCUUUAUAGUGACUUAAAAAAUCUUGAGAACUGCCAGUUUACCCCACUCACUUUUUCUGUUUCUAACGGAGAGUAUAUGCUUGUCUGUAAUUCAUUUUCAUAUCAAAAAGGAAAAUCAAAUUAUACACUGAAAAAAAUUAUGAAUUGCAAAAAAUAAUUUCCCCUAACUGUUAAGUGAAAAGGAAAUUCUAAAGUAUCAAAGUUUCAUUAUUUUUUUCCUAUAAUAAAGAAAAGACUUUGUUUCAUGGUAGCAAAAUUAAAAACAAUUACAGUGUGAUGGUCCUGCUUCUGUUUUUUUUAACUUUAAUUUUGUAGAAUACCCAUAAUUUUGUUCAGGAAAAAAUAAAGUGAGGGAGAAGGAGAAAAGAAAAUGCAAAAGAAUUUAAAGUAGAAGAUUGUGUAACCUGAGAUUGCAGUCUUCCUAUGGAGAAGAGACUAAAAAAUUAUUCCUGCAGAAAAGAUGGUACUUGAAAUAUUUUGAAUAACCUGCAGUAUUAAAAGAUUUAAAAGUAUUGCUCCUGUACUGCAAGAACUUCAUGCCUGGCAGGUGAACACUGGAUUACCCAACCUAGCUGUUAGAUUUCAGAUGUGAAAAUGAGUGUGCAGACAACUCACGUGCCUAGUUACAGUUCACAUCCGGUAUGCAUUGAGAGAAAAAUCCUUUCUUCUAAUGAAUAUGUAAACUGACUAUGUAAUUUUUGGUAAUUGGUGCUUAUCCUUGCUUUCAUUUGGACACUUGAUCAUAACUGACAAACUGGCAGCUGAGGAAGAAGAAAACUCUAAGCUGUAAGAAUAAUAAACAGAGCAGAGUGGGAGAUGGAAAAAACCUCCAGCAUACAUGGGAGGAAAACUUCAGCAAAUGGGGCUAAGCCAUAAAUGGAUUUUUAAAAAAUGGUUUGGUGUUUCUACAACUUAAAAUGAAUUUUUUUUUUUAAAUUAACAACAUUAAAUGUGUGUCAAUUUUCUGCCUUACCUGUUCAACCAAAAUAGUAUGUGAAGAGAAUAUUAAGAAAAUUAUAUUUAAUACAAAAAGUUUUGUUUAAAAACAGUUUCAUAUUAAGCACCUAAAGAGAAAAUUUAAAAAACAGAUGCACUCAUUCUGUUUGAGCCUAACCAUUUCCACAACUACUAAAUUGACUCAUGUGAAGCUUUACUCUGGAGGUCAAUAUCAAGGACUGAAAAGUGUGCACCUACAAACAAAUUCUACUUUCUCAUCCAAAAUGCCUUGUUUCAGAGCCAUGUGGCUUUACUAAUAGUGUCUACAUAGACUCACCUGCUGUCUGUUGUCCACACACAAACAUCAAAAAAAAUUCUCCAAGGUCAUUUGGGGCUGAGAAGAAGGUCAGGCUUGCUCACUCCUUAAUACCUUUGAAGCUGCUAAUGUGACUGAGAUGGAUGAGAGUGAGUAGGAUACAAGCCUGUCUGUCAGCAAAACACAUGAUCUCAGCAAUAUAAAGUGUAAUUGAUCUAAAUCUCAGCUACAGCAGUUAACAGACUCCAAGAGGGAGAGAAGACACUUGGACCACAGGGUUUGUAUUUGACUAUGUUCUUACUUUGCAAAAUAGACAUUGCUCAGCAGCCUGGAUUUUUGCAGCUUGCUUCUAGUGGUUACUACAGAUAGUAUUUUCACACCAGCACUUUCAUUUUUACAUCCAGAGGCUCUUUACUGAGUCUCUAUCAAAGUCCAAUUUAUUACCUGAUAAAUUAUCAGCUAAAACCCUACCACUUUUCUAUAAGAAAAAUUUUUAAGAGACUAGAAAGUAACA